rnacentral:rRNA from 2 species
GGUUAAGCGACUAAGCGUACACGGUGGAUGCCCUGGCAGUCAGAGGCGAUGAAGGACGUGCUAAUCUGCGAAAAGCGUCGGUAAGGUGAUAUGAACCGUUAUAACCGGCGAUGUCCGAAUGGGGAAACCCAGUGUGAUUCGUCACACUAUCGUUAACUGAAUACAUAGGUUAACGAGGCGAACCGGGGGAACUGAAACAUCUAAGUACCCCGAGGAAAAGAAAUCAACCGAGAUUCCCCCAGUAGCGGCGAGCGAACGGGGAGCAGCCCAGAGUCUGAAUCAGCUUGUGUGUUAGUGGAACGGUCUGGAAAGUCCGACGGUACAGGGUGAUAGUCCCGUACACCAAAAUGCACAGGUUGUGAACUCGAAGAGUAGGGCGGGACACGUGGUAUCCUGUCUGAAUAUGGGGGGACCAUCCUCCAAGGCUAAAUACUCCUGACUGACCGAUAGUGAACCAGUACCGUGAGGGAAAGGCGAAAAGAACCCCGGCGAGGGGAGUGAAAAAGAACCUGAAACCGUGUACGUACAAGCAGUGGGAGCACCUUCGGGUGUGACUGCGUACCUUUUGUAUAAUGGGUCAGCGACUUAUAUUCUGUAGCAAGGUUAACCGUAUAGGGGAGCCGCAGGGAAACCGAGUCUUAACUGGGCGUUAAGUUGCAGGGUAUAGACCCGAAACCCGGUGAUCUAGCCAUGGGCAGGUUGAAGGUUGGGUAACACUAACUGGAGGACCGAACCGACUAAUGUUGAAAAAUUAGCGGAUGACUUGUGGCUGGGGGUGAAAGGCCAAUCAAACCGGGAGAUAGCUGGUUCUCCCCGAAAGCUAUUUAGGUAGCGCCUCGUGAAUUCAUCUUCGGGGGUAGAGCACUGUUUCGGCUAGGGGGUCAUCCCGACUUACCAACCCGAUGCAAACUACGAAUACCGAAGAAUGUUAUCACGGGAGACACACGGCGGGUGCUAACGUCCGUCGUGAAGAGGGAAACAACCCAGACCGCCAGCUAAGGUCCCAAAGUCAUGGUUAAGUGGGAAACGAUGUGGGAAGGCACAGACAGCCAGGAUGUUGGCUUAGAAGCAGCCAUCAUUUAAAGAAAGCGUAAUAGCUCACUGGUCGAGUCGGCCUGCGCGGAAGAUGUAACGGGGCUAAACCAUGCACCGAAGCUGCGGCAGCGACACGAUGUGUUGUUGGGUAGGGGAGCGUUCUGUAAGCCUGCGAAGGUGUGCUGUGAGGCAUGCUGGAGGUAUCAGAAGUGCGAAUGCUGACAUAAGUAACGAUAAAGCGGGUGAAAAGCCCGCUCGCCGGAAGACCAAGGGUUCCUGUCCAACGUUAAUCGGGGCAGGGUGAGUCGACCCCUAAGGCGAGGCCGAAAGGCGUAGUCGAUGGGAAACAGGUUAAUAUUCCUGUACUUGGUGUUACUGCGAAGGGGGGACGGAGAAGGCUAUGUUAGCCGGGCGACGGUUGUCCCGGUUUAAGCAUGUAGGCUGGUUGUCCAGGCAAAUCCGGAUAAUCAAGGCUGAGGUGUGAUGACGAGGCACUACGGUGCUGAAGUAACAAAUGCCCUGCUUCCAGGAAAAGCCUCUAAGCAUCAGGUAACAUCAAAUCGUACCCCAAACCGACACAGGUGGUCAGGUAGAGAAUACCAAGGCGCUUGAGAGAACUCGGGUGAAGGAACUAGGCAAAAUGGUGCCGUAACUUCGGGAGAAGGCACGCUGGUGUGUAGGUGAAGUCCCUGCGGAUGGAGCUGAGACCAGUCGAAGAUACCAGCUGGCUGCAACUGUUUAUUAAAAACACAGCACUGUGCAAACACGAAAGUGGACGUAUACGGUGUGACGCCUGCCCGGUGCCGGAAGGUUAAUUGAUGGGGUUAUCCGUAAGGAGAAGCUCUUGAUCGAAGCCCCGGUAAACGGCGGCCGUAACUAUAACGGUCCUAAGGUAGCGAAAUUCCUUGUCGGGUAAGUUCCGACCUGCACGAAUGGCGUAAUGAUGGCCAGGCUGUCUCCACCCGAGACUCAGUGAAAUUGAACUCGCUGUGAAGAUGCAGUGUACCCGCGGCAAGACGGAAAGACCCCGUGAACCUUUACUAUAGCUUGACACUGAACAUUGAGCCUUGAUGUGUAGGAUAGGUGGGAGGCUUUGAAGCGUGGACGCCAGUCUGCGUGGAGCCAACCUUGAAAUACCACCCUUUAAUGUUUGAUGUUCUAACGUUGGCCCCUGACCGGGGUUGCGGACAGUGUCUGGUGGGUAGUUUGACUGGGGCGGUCUCCUCCCAAAGCGUAACGGAGGAGCACGAAGGUUAGCUAAUCCUGGUCGGACAUCAGGAGGUUAGUGCAAUGGCAUAAGCUAGCUUGACUGCGAGCGUGACGGCGCGAGCAGGUGCGAAAGCAGGUCAUAGUGAUCCGGUGGUUCUGAAUGGAAGGGCCAUCGCUCAACGGAUAAAAGGUACUCCGGGGAUAACAGGCUGAUACCGCCCAAGAGUUCAUAUCGACGGCGGUGUUUGGCACCUCGAUGUCGGCUCAUCACAUCCUGGGGCUGAAGUAGGUCCCAAGGGUAUGGCUGUUCGCCAUUUAAAGUGGUACGCGAGCUGGGUUUAGAACGUCGUGAGACAGUUCGGUCCCUAUCUGCCGUGGGCGCUGGAGAAUUGAGGGGGGCUGCUCCUAGUACGAGAGGACCGGAGUGGACGCAUCACUGGUGUUCGGGUUGUCAUGCCAAUGGCACUGCCCGGUAGCUAAAUGCGGAAGAGAUAAGUGCUGAAAGCAUCUAAGCACGAAACUUGCCCCGAGAUGAGUUCUCCCUGAGACUUUAAGUCUCCUGAAGGAACGUUAAAGACGAUGACGUUGAUAGGCCGGGUGUGUAAGCGCAGCGAUGCGUUGAGCUAACCGGUACUAAUGAACCGUGAGGCUUAACCUU